rnacentral:rRNA from 1 species
UACGGGGGGGGCAAGCGUUGUUCGGAAUUACUGGGCGUAAAGCGCACGUAGGCGGCUUUGUAAGUUAGAGGUGAAAGCCCGGGGCUCAACCCCGGAAUUGCCUUUAAGACUGCAUCGCUAGAAUUGUGGAGAGGUAUGUGGAAUUCCGAGUGUAGAGGUGAAAUUCGUAGAUAUUCGGAAGAACACCAGUGGCGAAGGCGACUUACUGGACACAUAUUGACGCUGAGGUGCGAAAGCGUGGGGAGCAAACAGG